GGAAGGGCCAUAGCUCAGUGGUAGAGUAUCUGUCUUGCAUGUAAACGAUCCCAGGUUCAAUCCCUGGCACCUCCA